rnacentral:lncRNA from 10 species
AGUGUCUCACUCUACUGCUCAGGCUGGAGUGCAGUGGUGCCAUCACGGCUUACUGAAGCCUUGACCUCCCAGGCUCAAGUGAUCCUCCCACCUCAGCCUCCUGAGUAGAUGGGACUACAGGUUCCCAAUAACUGUGUGUCACCUUCAACAAGAUCUCUAGCCUCUUUGGGUUUUUCAGCGUUUUCUCCACUGUAACAAGAAUAAUGGCUCUCGCCACUUCUCUGCCUCUAAGGGUGUUGUCAGAAUUAAUGAGACAUCAGGGUGAAAAGCUUUCUACAUUUUUUUCCCCUCAGAGAAUGCUGGAAAAAAAAAUAGAAGUAAUAUCUGUAUUUUGUGAAGAACUUUUCUUUCUGC